GAUGAACGCUGGCGGCGUGCCUAACACAUGCAAGUCGAACGGAGUCCAGCCUUUAAGACCUUCGGGUCAAAGAGGGGAAGACUGAGUGGCGGACGGGUGAGUAACACGUGGGCAACCUGGCUCAUAGAGGGGGAUAACAGAGAGAAAUUUCUGCUAAUACCGCAUAAGCACACACUGCCGCAUGGCAGAGGGUGAAAAGAGAAUCGCUAUGAGAUGGACCCGCGUCUGAUUAGCCAGUUGGCAGGGUAAGAGCCUACCAAAGCGACGAUCAGUAGCCGAUCUGAGAGGAUGAACGGCCACAUUAGGACUGAGACACGGCCCAAACUCCUACGGGAGGCAGCAGUGGGGGAUAUUGCACAAUGGGGGGAACCCUGAUGCAGCGACGCCGCGUGAGUGAAGAAGUAUUUCGGUAUGUAAAGCUCUAUCAGCAGGGAAGAUAAUGACAGUACCUGAAUAAGAAGCCCCGGCUAACUACGUG
rnacentral:rRNA from 1 species